AUUUCCUCCAACAUGAAGUUAGGAACACUGGGUAUAUUCCAAAUGUGCCUUAUUUCACUGAGGGACAAAUAACAAGUUCCAGCUUGCUCCAAUGAUAUUGGAAUUAAGUCAGCCAACCAUGUUUUCAAGGUCAGAUGGAUCCCUCCACUUCAAGGCUUACAUCAUGCUAGAUAUUUUAUCUGAGUAGAAAAUUAACAAUUGGGAUAAAUAUAAAGGUGUUGAUCUAGAGAGAAUUCCCAUUGAAACUUCUUCAAACAAAUCUCCAUCCCAGUCCCCAUCUUAGGCAACCCAGCCUAACAAAGGCAGUAACGAGUUCCUCAGCCAAUGGAUAGUGUCAUCCUUCACAGUUCUGACAUGAACAUUUACGCAUUAGAUGUUCUAAGUCGGCUCCCUGCAGUGCAUGUCAACAUUAGAACACCUGGGGCAGAGCUGGCUCCCAGAACAACAGGAGAGACUUGCCAACAAGCUUGCUUAGGAUUUCUCUGCAGUGGAAAUUUUGGGACUGGGACCUGUUUGGAAAUAUCAGAGAUAACUAGAGGUGGGGGUAACGCCAAUGCUUCCUAGUAGAACAAGAUAGAAAACCACAUGGAUCAUUUCAAAGAAGCCACAGUUUGGAUUGGAUGCAAGAAGGAAUGGUUUAGAAGAGGUCACAGGUCACUGCCCCUUUGUUACUGAGCAUACUUUGGUUUUGUUUCCUCUGUCAUGAUUGGAAAAGGAUCUGUUGCUAACCUUCUAUCAAGUUGUUCUUGUAUAACUUGAGGCCCAGCAUCAACUCUCGAGAGGAGUGAAAAAGCUACUGAAUGCAAGUAGAACAUGGAGCCUCUCCAUCACUCUAUCAUUUUUGUCUAUCACUAAGUCUGUUGAUUCAUUGAAGUCCAAACUUUUGCUGGCACCACCUUGGCCUCUCACGGUCACCUCCACAAAAUCUCCAAGUGAGUCAGAUGAAAUGGUAAAGAGUAAAGAGGUGUGUUUCUGGCUCCUCCACUCCAGACUCUGAGCAAUGAACAACUCAAACAAAGUCUUUCAACCUGAAACUCUCAAGGGCAGGGUGUGGGGAGGUGUGCAGCAUGGUUCAUGUUCAGCAGGUUGAACAUGUGUACUUUCAGUCCAUUUAAUAACUAACUCCCCAGCUGAGCUGCAGUCCGGCUUCCAAUGCUUUUCAUAGAAAAUACCACUAAAACACCGAUCUUCAAAACUUUUGUGUUUUAUGGCCAGGAAUAAAAGCUUACCUCUUUCCCUGCAGUGAUUAUCUUUCCCUGGUUGCUCAUGUUCUAAAAAGUUUAUUAAUUAAAUUUGGCUUCUCUGGUUGA